rnacentral:rRNA from 1 species
UGGGGAAUAUUGGGCAAUGGGCGCAAGCCUGACCCAGCAACGCCGCGUGAAGGAAGAAGGCCCUCGGGUUGUAAACUUCUUUUAUCGAGGACGAAGAAGUGACGGUACUCGAUGAAUAAGCCACGGCUAACUACGUGCCAGCAGCCGCGGUAAUACGUAGGUGGCAAGCGUUAUCCGGAUUUACUGGGUGUAAAGGGCGUGUAGGCGGGCCUGCAAGUCAGACGUGAAAUCUCAUGGCUCAACCAUGGAACUGCGUUUGAAACUGUAGGUCUUGAGUGUUGGAGAGGCAGGCGGAAUUCCGUGUGUAGCGGUGAAAUGCGUAGAUAUACGGAGGAACACCAGUGGCGAAGGCGGCCUGCUGGACAAUAACUGACGCUGAGGCGCGAAAGCGUGGGGAGCAAACAGG